rnacentral:rRNA from 1 species
GACGAACGCUGGCGGCGUGCUUAACACAUGCAAGUCGAACGGAAAGGCCCUGCUUUUGUGGGGUGCUCGAGUGGCGAACGGGCGAGUAACACGUGAGUAACCUGCCCUUGACUUUGGGAUAACUUCAGGAAACUGGGGCUAAUACCGGAUAGGCGCUCCUGCUGCAUGGUGGGGGUUGGAAAGGUUCGGCGGUUGGGGAUGGACUCGCGGCUUAUCAGCUUGUUGGUGGGGUAGUGGCUUACCAAGGCUUUGACGGGUAGCCGGCCUGAGAGGGUGACCGGCCACAUUGGGACUGAGAUACGGCCCAGACUCCUACGGGAGGCAGCAGUGGGGAAUAUUGCACAAUGGGCGGAAGCCUGAUGCAGCAACGCCGCGUGCGGGAUGACGGCCUUCGGGUGGUAAACCGCUUUCGCCUGUGACGAAGCGUGAGUGACGGUAAUGGGUAAAGAAGCACCGGCUAACUACGUG